GCUGGGCGUGGCGGUGCGCACCUGUAAUCCCAGCCACUUGGGAGGCAGAGGCACAAGAAUUGCUUGAACCCAGGAGGCAGAGGUUGCAGUGAGCUGAGAUUGCGCCACUGCAAUCCAGCCUGGGUGACAGAGUAAAACUGUGUCUCGA
rnacentral:SRP_RNA from 2 species